CCGGCGCACGGGUGAGUAACGCGUAUGCAACUUGCCUGUCAGAGGGGGAUAACCCGGCGAAAGUCGGACUAAUACCGCAUGAAGCAGGGGCCCCGCAUGGGGAUAUUUGCUAAAGAUUCAUCGCUGAUAGAUAGGCAUGCGUUCCAUUAGGCAGUUGGCGGGGUAACGGCCCACCAAACCGACGAUGGAUAGGGGUUCUGAGAGGAAGGUCCCCCACAUUGGUACUGAGACACGGACCAA
rnacentral:rRNA from 1 species